CCCAGGGUUUUGCAUAAUUUAUCUGUUUUUCUCCGCCCACAAUGGCUAAAGCUAAAAAGGGACCAAAGUUUGCUGCUAUGAAGAAGAUUGAUUCUUCCAAAGCAAUCAAAAGCUACAAAGAAGAGGUUUUGAACCUAGAAAAGAAGAAUCUUAUGAAGGAAAAGUUACCCAGUAAUGUGUAAGCUUCCAUCGUCUCAUUAAAAAUUCAACCUUAUGUAUUUGUUGUUUUACUUUAAUUGAAUGUUGAGGUUCAUAUUAAUGUUAGAUAUUAUGAUGAUGAUAGUUUUGUGGUUCCCGUCAAUGUAUGUCAUUUGAAGAUAUCAAAGAGCAAAAAAAAUAAACAAAUAAAUACAAAAAAACCCAAAAAAAAA